AUGAGUCUGCGUCUGAUUAGCUAGAUGGUGGGGUAACGGCUUACCAUGGCGACGAUCAGUAGUCGGCCUGAGAGGGUGACCGGCCACAUUGGGACUGAGACACGGCCCAAACUCCUACGGGAGGCAGCAGUGGGGAAUCUUCCGCAAUGGGCGAAAGCCUGACGGAGCAACGCCGCGUGAUCGAAUGAAGGCCUUCGGGUUGUAAAGAUCUGUUGACAGGGACGAAUAAGCAAUGCGAAUAGUUUUGUGUAUGACGGUACCUGUUUAGAAAGCUCCGGCUAACUACGUGCCAGCAGCCGCGGUAAUACGUAGGGAGCAAGCGUUGUCCGGAAUUACUGGGCGUAAAGGGCGCGUAGGUGGGCGCUUAAGUCAGGUGUGAAAACUCCGGGCUCAACCUGGAGACUGCACUUGAAACUGGGUGUCUUGAGGGCAGGAGAGGAAAGUGGAAUUCCUAGUGUAGCGGUGAAAUGCGUAGAUAUUAGGAGGAACACCAGUGGCGAAGGCGACUUUCUGGACUGUACCUGACGCUGAGGCGCGAAAGCGUGGGUAGCGAACGGGAUUAGAUACCCCGGUAGUCCACGCCGUAAACGAUGAAUACUAGGUGUAGGAGGUAUCGACUCCUUCU
rnacentral:rRNA from 1 species